CAGUCGCCGCGGUAAUACGUAGGGUGCAAGCGUUGUCCGGAAUUAUUGGGCGUAAAGAGCUCGUAGGCGGUUUGUCGCGUCUGCUGUGAAAACUGGAGGCUCAACCUCCAGCCUGCAGUGGGUACGGGCAGACUAGAGUGCGGUAGGGGAGAUUGGAAUUCCUGGUGUAGCGGUGGAAUGCGCAGAUAUCAGGAGGAACACCGAUGGCGAAGGCAGAUCUCUGGGCCGUAACUGACGCUGAGGAGCGAAAGCGUGGGGAGCGAACAGGAUUAGAUACCCGCGUAGUCCCUGUCUCUUAUAC
rnacentral:rRNA from 1 species